rnacentral:rRNA from 1 species
CCUACGGGUGGCAGCAGUGAGGAAUAUUGGUCAAUGGGCUGACGCCUGAACCAGCCAAGUCGCGUGAGGGAAGACUGCCCUAUGGGUUGUAAACCUCUUUUGUCAGGGAGCAAUGGGCGCCACGUGUGGCGUUAUCGAGAGUACCUGAAGAAAAAGCAUCGGCUAACUCCGUGCCAGCAGCCGCGGUAAUACGGAGGAUGCGAGCGUUAUCCGGAUUUAUUGGGUUUAAAGGGUGCGUAGGCGGAAUGUCAAGUCAGCGGUAAAAUCUCGGGGCUCAACCGCGCUCCGCCGUUGAAACUGGCGGUCUUGAGUGGGCGAGAAGUAUGCGGAAUGCGUGGUGUAGCGGUGAAAUGCAUAGAUAUCACGCAGAACUCCGAUUGCGAAGGCAGCAUACCGGCGCCCAACUGACGCUGAGGCACGAAAGCGUGGGUAUCGAACAGGAUUAGAUACCCUUGUAGUC